AGCCUACUUUUUCCUUUUAAAUAUUGAAGUCCUCAAAAUCAUCAUUGGAAAAAGAUGUAUCCUGAUCAUCAUCUACUAGAACAGCAAGAGAAGGGAAUGAAUAGAGGGAUAAAAGUGAAAUAAGAUGGAAGAGAAAGGGGAAUAAAGAGAAGA